CAAAAUUUUUCGUUGCGGUGGUU
rnacentral:miRNA from 1 species